rnacentral:rRNA from 1 species
GAUGAACGCUGGCGGCGUGCUUAACACAUGCAAGUCGAACGAUGAAGCCCAGCUUGCUGGGUGGAUUAGUGGCGAACGGGUGAGUAACACGUGAGUAACCUGCCCUUAACUCUGGGAUAAGCCUGGGAAACUGGGUCUAAUACCGGAUAGGAGCGUCCACCGCAUGGUGGGUGUUGGAAAGAUUUAUCGGUUUUGGAUGGACUCGCGGCCUAUCAGCUUGUUGGUGAGGUAAUGGCUCACCAAGGCGACGACGGGUAGCCGGCCUGAGAGGGUGACCGGCCACACUGGGACUGAGACACGGCCCAGACUCCUACGGGAGGCAGCAGUGGGCAAUAUUGCACAAUGGGCGCAAGCCUGAUGCAGCGACGCCGCGUGAGGGAUGACGGCCUUCGGGUUGUAAACCUCUUUCAGUAGGGAAGAAGCGAAAGUGACGGUACCUGCAGAAGAAGCACCGGCUAACUACGUG